UACGUAGGGGGCAAGCGUUAUCCGGAAUCACUGGGCGUAAAGGGUGCGUAGGCGGCCAAUCAAGCCAGGGGUGAAAGGCUACGGCUUAACCGUAGUAAGCCCUUGGAACUGAAUGGCUUGAGUGCAGGAGAGGAGAGUGGAAUUCCUAGUGUAGCGGUGAAAUGCGUAGAUAUUAGGAGGAACACCAGUGGCGAAGGCGACUCUCUGGACUGUAACUGACGCUGAGGCACGAAAGCGUGGGGAGC
rnacentral:rRNA from 1 species